GGCCUUGACAUACUAAGAACUUUCCAGAGAUGGAUUGGUGCCUUCGGGAACUUAGAUACAGGUGCUGCAUGGCUGUCGUCAGCUCGUGUCGUGAGAUGUUGGGUUAAGUCCGCAACGAGCGCAACCCUUUUCCUUAUUUGCCAGCGGGUAAUGCCGGGAACUUUAAGGAUACUGCCAGUGACAAACUGGAGGAAGGCGGGGACGACGUCAAGUCAUCAUGGCCCUUACGGCCAGGGCUACACACGUGCUACAAUGGUCGGUACAAAGGGUUGCUACCUCGCGAGAGGAUGCUAAUCUCAAAAAGCCGAUCGUAGUCCGGAUCGCAGUCUGCAACUCGACUGCGUGGAGUCGGAAUCGCUAGUAAUCGCGGAUCAGAAUGCCGCGGUGAAUACGUUCCCGGGCCUUGUACACACCUCCCGUCACACCAUGGGAGUUUGUUGCACCAGAAGUAGGUAGUCUAACCGCAAGGAGGACGCUUACCACGGUGUGGCCGAUGACUGGGGUGAAGUCGUAACAAGGUAGGCGUAGAUGA
rnacentral:rRNA from 1 species